GGGUUUUCCUUUGUGCUUGAUCUAACCAUGUGGUAGAACAAUACGAAUUGAACAUGGUUCUGUCAAGCACCAUGGAAGGCUG
rfam:Pygoscelis adeliae contig35828, whole genome shotgun sequence.